rnacentral:lncRNA from 1 species
AUUCAAGUAUGUGAUAAAGCAGAGCCCAUGGAAGAUCUUAGCUCUUAGAUUGUCCACUGCAGUGUUGUGGAACCAAGUUCGUGUUUGGCUGUCCCCUAGAAAGCCAGACACCCAGACGGCCAGAUGGCAGCAGAGAGAGGGUUUAAUCACAACACAUUAAAGUGAGGAAGCAAGAGAGAAUGAGUCUCAAAUCCACUUCCCAGAAAAUAGGGACUCAGGGAUAUUUAUUGAGUAGGGGGGGCAACGUGGUCUGAAAUGUGGACAUAGGUGAUUGGAGGUGAGAAGAGGUGAGGUAAUUGCUGAUCUGCGCAAGUGUAGUCAGACUUCAUGCUUCUUCAAAGGACCUGUGCUCACAAAAUGGCGGCGUUAGCAUGAUCUGAGGGUGGAGUUUUUAGCCUUUUGACAUCAAAGGAUCAUUUAUCAGAGAGCUGCACGGGCCCAGACAGUGGGUUGGUGGUCUCAACUGGCCUGAAGUGAACAAGGGAUUCUAAUUCUGAAAAACAGCUCACACACCCAUUACCAUGGUGACCCAGGCUCCAGGGAGAUGUUAUCUAUAGGAACCUAGUGGGAGUCAGAUAGCACAUUGCCUAAACAGCACAGUUAACAAUGUGUGGGGGAACAACUAAAAGCUAAAAUCAGUAAUUGCAAAAAGGAAAAGAACUUUAGUUACCAGCUACUUAAUCAUCAAUGGCUAACUGGUUGCCUGUGUCACAGGGAUGCCUGUGGAGAACAUAGAUAUUAGCCAAGAAUGGCAGGCAGCAACAGCGGAAUUUGAGAAGGAAGGGAAGAAUACUCUCGGAGAACCACGUUCAGGAACACAGUGAUGCAUUUGUUUACCUGAGCGUGACGUAGCACGCAAGAUGGCCUCCGGAAGGUGUUCAUGUACGUAAGCAUACUACAUAGCUUGGUUUUCAGACUUCCUCUGUAACACUCUUGCUCCAGGAAGAACACACUUCACUACUUCUUGAACAAGGCCUUCAAGUUCCUGUCUCUAUGCAAUUUCCUUCCCCUGGAUGUCCUUGACCUUCAUUUCCUGCCUUGAAAAAUCUUUCCCUUUUUCUAGGUUUAGCUCAAGCUUCUCCUCCAAGAAAACAA